rnacentral:rRNA from 1 species
UACGUAGGGUGCAAGCGUUAAUCGGAAUUACUGGGCGUAAAGCGUGCGCAGGCGGCUUUGCAAGACAGAUGUGGAAAUCCCCGGGCUUAACCUGGGAACUGCAUUUGUGACUGCAUGGCUAGAGUGCGGCAGAGGGGGAUGGAAUUCCGCGUGUAGCAGUGAAAUGCGUAGAUAUGCGGAGGAACACCGAUGGCGAAGGCAAUCCCCUGGUCCAGCACUGACGCUGAGGUGCGAAAGCGUGGGGAGCAAACAGG